rnacentral:rRNA from 1 species
CCUACGGGAGGCUGCAGUGGGGAAUAUUGGACAAUGGGGGGAACCCUGAUCCAGCCAUGCCGCGUGUGUGAAGAAGGCCCUCGGGUUGUAAAGCACUUUCAGUGAGGAAGAACGCCUGGUGGUUAAUACCCAUCAGGAAAGACAUCACUCACAGAAGAAGCACCGGCUAACUCCGUGCCAGCAGCCGCGGUAAUACGGAGGGUGCGAGCGUUAAUCGGAAUUACUGGGCGUAAAGCGCGCGUAGGUGGCUUGAUAAGCCGGUUGCGAAAGCCCCGGGCUCAACCUGGGAACGGCAUCCGGAACUGUCAAGCUAGAGUGCAGGAGAGGAAGGUAGAAUUCCCGGUGUAGCGGUGAAAUGCGUAGAGAUCGGGAGGAAUACCAGUGGCGAAGGCGGCCUUCUGGACUGACACUGACACUGAGGUGCGAAAGCGUGGGUAGCAAACAGGAUUAGAUACCCGGGUAGUC